GAUGAACGCUGGCGGCGUGCUUAACACAUGCAAGUCGAACGGGAAAUAUUUCAUUGAGACUUCGGUGGAUUUGAUUUAUUUCUAGUGGCGGACGGGUGAGUAACGCGUGGGUAACCUGCCUUAUACAGGGGGAUAACAGUCAGCAAUGGCUGCUAAUACCGCAUAAGCGCACAGAGCUGCAUGGCUCAGUGUGAAAAACUCCGGUGGUAUAAGAUGGACCCGCGUUGGAUUAGCUAGUUGGUGGGGUAACGGCCCACCAAGGCGACGAUCCAUAGCCGGCCUGAGAGGGUGAACGGCCACAUUGGGACUGAGACACGGCCCAGACUCCUACGGGAGGCAGCAGUGGGGAAUAUUGCACAAUGGGGGAAACCCUGAUGCAGCGACGCCGCGUGAAUGAAGAAGUAUCUCGGUAUGUAAACUUCUAUCAGCAGGGAAGAUAGUGACGGUACCUGACGAAGAAGCCCCGGCUAACUACGUG
rnacentral:rRNA from 1 species